CCCUCUCGCGAUCGUCAGGCAGUCCUGCAUAAUGUCAUAUAACUUUGUGCCUGCAGUGACUAUCCUAAGGUUGAGCACACGCUCCAGCCUCUGUGCAAUCGCCUCAUAUCCCUCGUAAUCAUCCUGUCAAAGUCAUUAAAAACAUUUAUUAUGAAAUUUAAAAUAAACAACAACUCAUAAAACAUUAAACGCGCAAAUAAUCUUACCACAU
rnacentral:lncRNA from 1 species